GGGGAUGUAACUCAGAUGGUAGAGCUCUCUCUUUGCCUGCGAGAGGUACUGGGAUCGAUACCCAGCAUCUUCA